rnacentral:rRNA from 1 species
GAUGAACGCUGACAGAAUGCUUAACACAUGCAAGUCUUUGGCGAAGCUGUGCUCGCACAGCCUAGCCAAGGCGGACGGGUGAGUAACGCGUAAGGAACUUGCCCUGCAGUCAGGGAUAACAGACGGAAACGACUGAUAAGACCUGGUAAAGUCAGGCGGACUCAUGUCCAGCCUGAUGAAAAGAGAUGCUGCAGGAGAGCCUUGCGUCCUAUUAGCUUGUUGGUGGGGUAACGGCCCACCAAGGCGAUGAUAGGUAGCCGGCCUGAGAGGGUGGACGGCCACAAGGGGACUGAGAUACGGCCCUUACUCCUACGGGAGGCAGCAAUGGGGAAUAUUGGACAAUGGGGGCAACCCUGAUCCAGCAAUUCUGUGUGCACGAUGAAGGUUUUCGGAUUGUAAAGUGCUUUCAGCAGGGAAGAAAAAAAUGACGGUACCUGCAGAAGAAGCGACGGCUAAAUACGUG